rnacentral:rRNA from 1 species
CCUUCGGGAGACACGAAAACAGGUGGUGCAUGGCUGUCGUCAGCUCGUGUCGUGAGAUGUUGGGUUAAGUCCCGCAACGAGCGCAACCCUUAUCCUAUGUUGCCAGCGAGUAAAGUCGGGAACUCAUGGGAGACUGCCGCAGACAAUGCGGAGGAAGGCGGGGAUGACGUCAAGUCAUCAUGCCCCUUAUGUCCUGGGCUACACACGUACUACAAUGGG